rnacentral:sRNA from 1 species
GGCAGAAUAGUUAGGGAACAGGAAGUAGAACAACACGGGCAGAAUAGUUAGGGAACAGGAAGUAGAACAACACGGACAGAAUAGUUAGGGAACAGGAAGUAGAACAACACGGACAGAAUAGUUAGGGAACAGGAAGUAGAACAACACAGACUAGUUCAAGGAUGAGUCCUUAAGCAAGACUUUAGCUUCAACUAUUCAUCCAGUCAGUAUUAAGUCCCUGAAAUAUGUUGUUGUAAAGAAACUUGGGGAAACAUGCUAGAGAAGACUCUUCCCAUAAAUGGGAAUAUAAAGCUUCACUUUAGUCUUUUGUGCUAACUUAAUUUGAACUAUCAGGAAAAGACAAAAAAGAUGAUAGAUGCUAGCAAAACCAUUCUAGACCUAGUAUGAGCGGGAGACCUUAUACCAGUGUAUCUACCGAGCUCUAAAAUGGGGUUGUGGGAGUUGGAGCAUUGGUCAGGGCUUCCUUAUUUUUGUCGUUGAGAAAGAAACCUUCAAUAAUGGUGAAAGCUGUCAUAGUGCUUUAAUUUGAAACUGCUACAAGAAUCAGAGCUCUGCCUUUCCCUCCAGACGCUCUUGUUUUUAUGUAUCUUUUGUUAGCCCUGUUGAGUGGUUGGUCUCUCGUGGACUUGGAGGUGAGUUAUAGAUGGUAACUUUUUAUCUCUCGGUUCUCUGCUUGGACUUUGAGCCUGGAACUUUAAAAGGUUUGCCUAACCAAAUCGGUCACAUACUCCUUUCAUUCUUCUUGUCUCGUCUGGGAAGGGUUUGCUUCCUUCUGCCUUGGUCUCUUUCUUGUUUUAAUAGUUAUGUCAAACAUCCUUCUUAUGUGCUCCAGACUGUAGUGACGCUUGUCGUCUUGCCGUGCCAAGUGCAGAAGAGUAACCAUGUCAUGACUUUAAAGCACUGUUUCUCCUCGGUGCUAAUGACGUGUUUGUCAUCAUCAAAGUCGGCGUGGACUGGAAGCAUGGCUUGCCCCGGCUUUCUCUGAGAAGAGAUGGGUUGGACAAGCUUGCCAUCCCUCGACCUGCAGCUGGCGGCAGCUGUGGUGGCUAGCGGAGGGAUGCAAAGUCGACGCAAAGCGUUUGCUCGUAAAGUAAGCCCAAGCAACCGCUUAGUAAAAUCGUUUGGCCUCGGCAACAAGAAAAUGAAGUCAUUUGGAGGAAACAGAAAUAAAACAAAGAAACAAAAGUGGAGAUUAGGUCCACAUGUGGGCCGAUGUGUCUCCUUGGAAGGCGUGGUCACGAAUUUUUGAUCCUCAAAAACAGCCACAUAUUAAAUCCAUUUAACUAAUUUACACAUGUUUGCCAUUUACCACAAAGAAAAUAAAUUAUAGUGGGCUGUGGAUGGGUGACCAGAAAGCCACUACCCCUGCAGUGGAAGGUAACUGAGGGUACUUGUACUAGGUAAUGGGUGCAGUAUGCCAGUCCCUGAGGUCUGGUUAGUCUUGUGAAGCUCUUGUUUCAAAUGAAUGGCCAUUUAGUGAAAUUUUGUAUAAUUUUUUCCCCCUAGAACUACCCUGCUCAAUUAUGGCCGAGUAGAUUCUGCUAAUCACAGGCUGCAUAGUUUGAACACUGAGAACAGUCAUUUGGAUGAGGUAUGAAUCUCAGUAAGAGUGUGAUCACCGAAUGGGUCACUUUUCUUUGCUCAUCAAGCCAACAACCUUCAUGUUAUGGGUGGAGAAAUGAGGGUUAAGGGUUGUGACUUGCCUGAGGUCAUACAGUAGUACAUUCAUGAUAACCCCAGACCAGUUUUCUCCCCAUCGAACAAAAAUGCAUGCCUCCCUCCCCCGAAGCAGGCCAGCCCGUUUCAGCAGAGACAUUUUCACCAGCUCUUCUGGAUCCACCCCUGCACCUCGCAGUCGCUCGUCCCCGGUCUUACUUUCUUGCUUGCUCGUGAUCUCUCUCAUUUUCCUGAUGAUUUGGCUUUGGGAACAGUGGAGUAAAUAAAAGUUCACAGACUUGUUAGCUGGAGACACGGUUGCCACCAAAGAGUGAGGAAAGGGUGUCUCCAUAUUGGACUGACCACUUAAAAAAAAAUUCCCCAGCCUUAAAUAUUAUCACUGGCCUUGGCAAAGCUCCAAGGUUCUAGGCAAUGU